AAAUAAUGAUCCUUCCGCAGGUUCACCUACGGAAACCUUGUUACGACUUCUCCUUCCUUUAAAAGAUAGGAUUUACGGUUUUUCCAGAAAAAAAAAGAUAUAAUCCAAUUUUUUCUUGUCCAAACAAUUCAUCAUAUCUUUCGAUCGGUAGGAGCGACGGGCGGUGUGUACAAAGGGCAGGGACGUAGUCAGCACAAUCUGAUGAAUCAUGCUUACUAGGCAUUCCUCGUUCAAGAUUAAUAAUUGCAAUAAUCUAUCCCCAUCACGAUAUGUAUUGAUAAAGAUUACCUACACUUUUCAGUGGAGGAAAAGUACGAAAUAAACUGCAAGCAGCCAUAUCGUAAUUUUAGUAACUCGUUAUACAUAUCAGUGUAGCACGCGUGCAGCCUAGUUCAUCUAAGGACAUCACAGACCUGUUGUUGCCUUAAACUUCCUUGUGUUAGACACACAUCGUUCCUCUAAGAAGCUUUAUGUAAAAGCAAAUACAUUUCUACAUAAAAGUGAAAUGGCAUCAUAAUCCAGUUUUAUGCGGUACAGGGAAUAGAGGGUUGGAAAUAUGCAUAGGCGCCAAGUAUUAUUAGGUACAAGGUAGCAAAAUGCAUUUUUUCCGUACUCAUUAUAUGCACGGCAAAAAAACCUUUUAAAUUAUCCAAAUACAAAUUCAGCAUAGAAAUAUGUUGUAUUUGCCGCUAAUUAGCAGGUUAAGAUCUCGUUCGUUAUCGGAAUUAACCAGACAAAUCAUAUUCACGAACUAAAAACGGCCAUGCAUCACCAUCCAAGAAAUCAAGAAAGAGCUAUUAAUCUGUCAAUCCUACUCUUGUCUUAAACUAGUGAGUUUUCCCGUGUUGAGUCAAAUUAAGCCGCAAGCUCCACGCCUGGUGGUGCCCUUCCGUCAAUUCUUUUAACUUUCUCGCUUGCGCGAAUACUCGCCCCAGAACCCAAAGACUUUGAUUUCUCAUAAGGUACUGAAGGAAGAAAUCUAAGAACUAUCCCCGAAGAGACUAUCCUUAUUUGUUUUACUUUCAUCCAAAACCUAGUCGGUAUAGUUUAUGGUUAAGAUUACGACGGUAUCUGAUCGUCUUCACUCCCUUAACUUUCGUUCUUGAUUAAUGGAAGUAUUUUAGACAAAUGCCUUCGCAGUUGUUUGUCUCCAGAAAAUCUUAGAAUUUCACCUCUGACAUCUGAAUACAAAUGUCCCCAAACUACUCCUAUUAAUCGUAACUAAGCCAAAAAUAAAAAAAAAGAAACAUAGUUUUGACCUGUUCAAUUUUGUUAUUCCAUGCUGUAGUAUUCAAACGCACAAAUGCUAUAUAUCUGUUU
rnacentral:rRNA from 1 species